GACGAACGCUGGCGGCGUGCUUAACACAUGCAAGUCGAACGGAAAGGCCCUGCUUUUGUGGGGUGCUCGAGUGGCGAACGGGUGAGUAACACGUGAGUAACCUGCCCUUGACUGUGGGAUAACUUCAGGAAACUGGGGCUAAUACCGGAUAGGAGCUCCUGCUGCAUGGUGGGGGUUGGAAAGUUUAGGAGGUUGGGGAUGGAAUCGCGGCUUAUCAGCUUGUUGGUGGGGUAGUGGCUUACCAAGGCUUUGACGGGUAGCCGGCCGGAGAGGGUGACCGGACACAUUGGGACUGAGAUACGGCCCAGACUCCUACGGGAGGCAGCAGUGGGGAAUAUUGCACAAUGGGCGGAAGCCUGAUGCAGCAACGCCGCGUGCGGGAUGACGGCCUUCGGGUUGUAAACCGCUUUCGCCUGUGACGAAGCGUCAGUGACGGUAAUGGGUAAAGAAGCACCGGCUAACUACGUG
rnacentral:rRNA from 1 species